rnacentral:rRNA from 1 species
GCCCAGUGACUAUAUUAAACGGCCGCGGUAUCCUAACCGUGCAAAGGUAGCAUAAUCACUUGUCCUCUAAAUAGGGACUAGUAUGAACGGUCAAAUGAGGACUUAACUGUCUCUUACAUUCCACCAAUAAAACUGAUCUCUCAGUCAAAAAGCUGAGAUAAAAACAUAAGACGAGAAGACCCUGUGGAGCUUCAAACCAAACCCCAACACCAAUGUGGUUCGGUUUUUAGUUGGGGCGACUUCGGAGUACAAAAAACCCUCCGACAUAAACUAUAUUAAGACCCACAUGUCAACAUAUGCCUGCCAUGACCCGGUAUCUACUAAAAUAUCCGAUCAAUGAACCAAGUUACCCCAGGGAUAACAGCGCCAUCCCCUUCUAGAGUCCCUAUCGACAAGGGGGUUUACGACCUCGAUGUUGGAUCAGGACACCCAAAUAGUGCAGCCGCUAUUAAAGGUUCGUUUGUUCAACGAUUAAUAGUCCUACGUGAUCUGAGUUCAGA